rnacentral:rRNA from 1 species
CCUACGGGAGGCAGCAGUGGGGAAUAUUGGGCAAUGGGCGCAAGCCUGACCCAGCAACGCCGCGUGAAGGAAGAAGGCUUUCGGGUUGUAAACUUCUUUUAAGAGGGAAGAGUAGAAGACGGUACCUCUUGAAUAAGCCACGGCUAACUACGGGCCAGCAGCCGCGGUAAUACGAAGGUGGCAAGCGUGGUCUGGAUUGAUUGGGUGAAAAGGGAGUGCAGCCGGGAAGACAAGUCAGCUGUGAAAUCCCGGGGCUCAACCGCGGAACUGCAGUUGAAACUGUUUUUCUUGAGUACCGGAGAGGUCGUCGGAAUGCCGUGUGUAGCGGUGAAAUGCGUAGAUAUAAGGAAGAACACCGGUGGCGAAGGCGGAUGACUGGACGGCAACUGACGCUGAGGCACGAAAGCGUGGGGAGCAAACAGGAUUAGAUACCCCUGUAGUC